rnacentral:tRNA from 1 species
ACCCGCUAUGGUGAAAUCUGUAGACACACUGCUCUUAGGAAGCAGUGCUAGAGCAUCUCGGUUCGAGUCCGAGUGGCGGCAUGCCAUCUUCU